rnacentral:rRNA from 1 species
GGAGAGAUCAUUGCCAAAACCUACAAAGCAGACUGUGAAUAGGUGCUCAAAAACACAUAGAGGGUGCGUGCGGGGCGAGAGAUGCCUGCUAUGGCUCAUCCUAACUAAGCCUGCACACACAUGCGCACACGCCCCUCCUGCGGGCUAACUAACCCAUACCAAGGAAGCGCCCAGCGCAAAUGCAUCUCUGCAUGCUUUCUUUCCUUGCCCUACCUCUUAUUGGGUGAGUGAGUGGGAGGGAGAGGGAUCUCUAAUGUUAAAAUGACUCUCGACAAUAGAUAUCUCGACUAUUGCAUUGAAUAAUGAAGCAAAAUGUGAUACUUGGUGUGCAUUGCAGAAUCCCGUGAACCAUUGAGUCUUUGAACGCAAGUUGUACCCAAAGCCAUUAGGUCGAGGGCACGUCUGCUUAGGCAUCACGCAUUGUGUUGUCGAUGGAGAUUGGCCUUCUGUGUGCCCUGAUGCAUGGCUAGCUUAAAGUGAUCCCCAAACAAUGGACGUUGCCACCAGUGGUGGUUGAACCAUUGACUUAACUGGCAUGCUGUCGUUCGACCAUGGCAUUAUCUACGGGGAGCCUCACAAGACCUAAAUGGCAUGAACGAGCGCCUCUGACCAUGACCCCAGGUCAGGCGGCACCACCCAUUGAUUUUAAGCAUAUCAAUA